UACGAAGGGGGCUAGCGUUGCUCGGAAUCACUGGGCGUAAAGCGCACGUAGGCGGAUUGCUAAGUCAGGGGUGAAAUCCUGGAGCUCAACUCCAGAACUGCCUUUGAUACUGGCGACCUUGAGUCCGGGAGAGGUGAGUGGAACUGCGAGUGUAGAGGUGAAAUUCGUAGAUAUUCACAAGAACACCAGUGGCGAAGGCGGCUCACUGGCCCGAUACUGACGCUGAGGCACGAAAGCGUGGGGAGCAAACAGGG
rnacentral:rRNA from 1 species